rnacentral:tRNA from 1 species
GGUGGCUCAGUGGUAGAGUGAUUGCCUUGCAUGCAUGAAGUCCUGGGUUCGAUUCCCCAGCACCA